CUCAAGAGACUAAGCAUAGGUAAAGUGUAGCCUAAAUAUGUCCUUACCUGCUGGCAUGACCUUGGCACCUGGGAGAGGCAGAAUCUUGGCACAGUUAACAUUUACAUCAUCACAGCCCUUACAAGGCUGAACUCUAUAAGGAAGUUACAAAAAUCAGAGCUAGCCUGAGACUGCUCCUAAUUUUGAUCAUGUAAAAGAAGUUUGUUUUGAUGAAGAUCUUUAUGACUAUUGAAGUGUAAACAUGCAUAAACAACAUGUAGCAGCACCUUCCCAGCCAAGAGUGCAGCACAUCCUCUUACCUUCACACUCGAAAAAGGGAUCAACAAAAGUGCAGUGGCUGACCUCUAUUCUAAAUUCCUGAAAUGACAACUGGGAGUAAGACUUCAUGACUAUCUACUGACGAUCCCUGACCAAAAAUAAAA
rnacentral:lncRNA from 1 species